rnacentral:lncRNA from 1 species
UCGUAGUUCACGAGAAUUAAUUAGGGGAAAAGAAAUGAAAAAAAAAACCCUAUAAAGAAAGAAAGAAAGAAAGUAACCAGAUAGACCGUACAACAUACAGAAGAGAUAAGGGCGAAAUGGAGGGAGGAAGGGAUCAGAUUCACUUUCAGUGUCUGAUCAACAGAGAAAGAAGCUGAUUCACAGCCAUUCAUUGAUUCUUCUUCAGUGGGAUGAACACUAUGUCCGAACACCUUUCAAAACCAUAUAAACUCUAGAACUGGACGGCGGCUUUGAAAGCUUACAGAUAGAUGGAGCGAAUCUGGAGGAAAGAAAAUGUUAGGGACCAGUACCGUCAUUUCCUUCUUCAAAAAUUAAAUUUAUUUACUCACCAGGGCAGUCACCACACAAUAAACCCUAGAUCAGAAGCAAGCGAGGGUACAGUAAGAGUCAGAAUAUAAGAAAUUAGGUCUUUGAAUUUGGGGAAGGGGCAGAUUCAUUGCGUGGGUAACCCUAGGAGAGAGAUAAAGAAGAUAAGAGAUGCGUACGUACAAUGAUUUAUUAUUAUUGGUGGAAUGGUGGGUGGUGAUUAAUCAAUCCCCAGUGAGCCACUAACUAUGCAGCAGCAGCAGCAGCAGCAGAAGAAGAAGAAGAAGAAGAAGAAGAAGAAGAAUAAGGGGUAGAAGCAUAAAACCAAACCCUACAAACCAAAGGAAAAGACAGCAUAAGACUGAGAUCGAAGAGAUAAUGCUUUGGAUUCAUAUGAGAAGCCAUUUUUCAUAUGAGAAAUUAUAACAACAACCAGGCAGCAGCACCACAUACCCACAUUAAUUGCCUAUCGCUUUCCUCCCUCUUUCCUUCCCCUCGUCUUCUUCCUUUUUCUCUCCUAGAAAAAAGCUAUGGAAAGUGACCCCUUUCUUUCCUUCCACCUUUAUUCCAAAACCCUAUUUCUUGUUUUCUUUUUCUUCUUCUCCUCCUUGGUUGCUUUGUUAUUAUGAAAGUCUCAUAUACUACAAUAAUAAUGCUGUCCAUUUGAUUUGGAUUCUUUC